CAUUUUAUGGUUAAACUGCGAACGGCUCAUUACAACAGCAAUAAUCAGCAUGAAGUUUUCCUUAUGGAUACUUGCAGUAAUUCUGGAGMUMAUACACGUGUGACCUUCGGGUUCAUUUUUUAGAUUCACUAACCGGGAUACCGUUGAGUGAUGACUCUGAUUACCUUGCAGACCGCAUGCUUUCGCAGCGGCGAUUCAUUCUGAUUGACUGUCCUAUCAACUUGCUAGUAGAGUAGUGGUCUACUAGGGUGAUUACGGGURACGGAGRAUUAGGGUU
rnacentral:rRNA from 1 species